UGCAAUUCGAACGAAGACUUCGGUUCUAGUMGCGCACGGGUGCGUAACGCGUGGGAAUCUGCCCUUAGGUUCGGAAUAACUUCCCGAAAAGGAUGCUAAUACCGGAUAAUGUCUUCGGACCAAAGAUUUAUCGCCUUUGGAUGGGCCCGCGUAGGAUUAGCUUGUUGGUGAGGUAAUGGCCUACCAAGGCGACGAAUCCUUAUCUGGUCUGAGAGGAUGAUCAGCCACACUGGGACUGAGACACGGCCCAGAUCUCUACGGGAGGCAGCAGUGGGGAAUAUUGGACAAUGGGCGAAAGCCUGAUCCAGCAAUGCCGCGUGAGUGAUGAAGGCCUUAGGGUUGUAAAGCUCUUUUACCAGGGAUGAUAAUGACAGUACCUGGAGAAUAAGCUCCGGCUAACUCCGUGCCAGCAGCCGCGGUAAUACGGAGGGAGCUAGCGUUGUUCGGAAUUACUGGGCGUAAAGCGCACGUAGGCGGCGAUUCAAGUCAGAGGUGAAAGCCCGGGGCUCAACCCCGGAACUGCCUUUGAAACUAGAUUGCUAGAAUCCUGGAGAGGUGAGUGGAAUUCCGAGUGUAGAGGUGAAAUUCGUAGAUAUUCGGAAGAACACCAGUGGCGAAGGCGACUCACUGGACAG
rnacentral:rRNA from 1 species